rfam:Pongo abelii chromosome 5.
GUCUAUAGCCAUGCCACCCAGAAUGUGCCCAAUCUCAUCUGAUCUCAGAAGCUAAGCAGGGUUGGGCCUGGUUAGUACUUGGAUGGGAGAUUUGCUGUCUAGUUA